UAGGGAAUCUUCCUCAAUGGACGAAAGUCUGACGGAGCAACGCCGCGUGAGUGAAGAAGGAUUUCGGUUCGUAAAACUCUGUUGUUAGGGAAGAAAAAAUGUAUAGUAACUAUAUACAAAAGAGACGGUACCUAACCAGAAAGCCACGGCUAACUACGUGCCAGCAGCCGCGGUAAUACGUAGGUGGCAAGCGUUGUCCGGAAUUAUUGGGCGUAAAGCGCGCGCAGGUGGUUUAGAAAGUCUGAUGUGAAAGCCCACGGCUCAACCGUGGAGGGUCAUUGGAAACUAAUAAACUUGAGUGCAGGAGAGAACAGUGGAAUUCCUUGUGUAGCGGUGAAAUGCGUAGAGAUUAGGAGGACCACCGGUGGCGAAAGCGGCUUUUUGGCCUGCAACUGACGCUGAGGCGCGAAAGCGUGGGGAGCAAACAGG
rnacentral:rRNA from 1 species